ACACACAGCGACAUCAUGUAACAGAGCCUGAAUAUUUAUUCAUUUAUUUUUCCUGCAAAUACAAACACUGUUACAUUUGUGAGUGAGAGCAGUGCUGUACAUGACCUGCAACAACAGACACGCACGUGGACAUCCUGCAGAAAGUCAUUGUCUCCUGGUGGCGACAAAGGCCAGCUUAUGCCGCUAACACUCAUGUGACGUUAGCACUGGUGCAUAGAAAAAGAUGAGGACGCAGCUGGGAGUGUACGGGCCGUACAAUACGGAGACGGGACAUUCACCAGUGUCUUUGGCAAAAUAAAAUGACUUUAAAUAACUUUACAUCGGGGCUUUAAAAGCAUUUGAGGGAGAUAUGUUUGAGUCCAGGCAGUUUUUGAUGAAAGAUUUAAACAAAAAACAAAAACAAAAAAACAAAUAUACAGUAUAUUCCACACUUUGGUUUGUCUCCCUGCUACGACUCCAGCUGGAGUGUGAUGAUGAGCUCCCGGCUCUCAGUAUGUAAGAGAACUAAUCUGGGGACCAAAUCCUCACCAAAGAAAAGGAAAUGCAGGAGAAAACACGUCUGGGCUCUGCCCUUCUUUUUGUUUGUUUUUUUUUUGUUUGUUUUUUUUUUGUUUGUUUUAAAAACGAGACACAAAGCGGUUUAUACCUACUAUAAAGCAGCACGGUUCUUUCUAGAACAGGUUCAGAGGUUUGGAUAGAUCUCCUGUGAGUGGUGGAUGUUAGCUGUAGAACUGUGGCUGUGGGUUCAACCUCCAAAUAUACAGUUCUUUAACCAAAAUAUUGAUGUGGGAACAGCCCUCAGCCAGCACUGUUUUCUGGUGUUAAGGCAAAAUAAAAGACAGUCAUCAACUAAACACAAGUUGAUUCUAACAUGUAGUGGCAGGAGAACGGUACCAAGUAAUGACUUCAUUACUGGCCUUUGACUGUUGAUGAGAUUAGGAUUUUUUCAGAGGAGGUUUUUUUUCAGUGCACUCUAAAGGACAUUUUCUAAUGCCCAGAAUCUUCUCAGUGAGAAUUGAUAAAAAUAAAAACUACAUCGAAUUAAAAAGGUCUUUCUACGAGAACAAAAUGUUUUUUUGACACAUCUUAAUUUGAAGUCUAAACAUUCGAAUAUUCCUUUCUGUGGAAUUCUGGGAUGUCUUUAAGAACAAGUCACGGCCUACUUUGACUAGUCUGAGAACAGAAAUCAAGUUUCCCUUUUUGUUAAAAUAAUCUUCCAGGUUUCCCUCGAGGUUUAGGUGAAAACUUUAAAUGUGCUCUUAUUUUAAAUCUUAAUUUUUUAGGGUAUAAAAACCACUUUAUACUUUACCACUUUAUAAAACUAGUCAGUGUUGGCCUUGACCUUUGACCCUGGCUGUUUUGGAUGCACCUCUAAAGGGCUGUGUGUUUGUUCUCGGCUAGUGAAGUCAAACUACUGCAGUUGUGCUUUCAUGCUUCCUGAAUUAACUCAUAGUAACGGUCUGUCUGUUUGAGUGGCCAUGUCUCCAUGAUUCUGUUAUUGAUGCCCCACAGAUUAACAUCACUUCCAAGUACUAUGACCUAGUACUACUGUAGUACUGUUGUUGAACAUCUACUCAUAUAGAGCCAGUCACUGUUAGCAUGGGCUUUGAUAUCACUUUUUGAGAUGAAACACUUUCUGAUUGCAGUAAAGAAGUCAGCAUCUGAAGUACUGGAGGAUACAGCAGAACAGAGUACUAAUAAUGGAAUACUUGACCUGAAAAGAGUACAAAUGUUCUGACUUCCCCCACUGCAGCCCAUGGGCUGCCAGUUGAUGAUCACUGACGUAUGAAGACCAACCAAUAACCAUUCACAUACAGAAAGACCAUCAGUUACCACCGAGACUCAAACCACUGACCUUCUUGUUGUAAGGCAACAGGACAAACCACUUAUAAGAACUGAGUUUAAAAAGAAAUCAACAACAAGAAGUGUCUUUUAUUCUGUGAAAAGAUCAUAAAAACUGUCUCCAGCUUUACGUCUUUGAACACAGCCAUUACUUCCACCUCUCAUUUUCAGAGCUCUGACCUUGUUCACUCCACUGCCAUCUGUCACCAACACAUUUACAUUACAUCAUUCCCACAGCCUCCUGUCCCCUCUUGUCUCCUCGUCCAGUACACCUCCUCAUACACUCUUACUCUUUCUACCGUUUCCUUCUCCAGCCUCAACGUUCCACAUGUUUAUCUCUUCAAACUCUUUCGCCGACACCACGUCCUGUACGUUGGACCUCCCACAGACAGGCUCUGUGGGAGGUCCUACAGUCCACACUUGUACUCACUGUAAACCUACAUUUCCAGGCCUUGGCCAUACCUCGUACUGAGACCCCCUGAGUGAGCUCCACAUGUUUACCUCCAAGUCUCCAGCUGUGCUCUGGCCCACGCCUGACUGUUUGUCUUCAACAUGGAAGAAAUCUCCUCCACCUGCUGCCUGUGUCAACUCCACCAAUCAGGUAAACAGAACUAAUGUCACGGCUGCUGUGACUGAUUAUUUGAAACCAGGUGUUUAUCCAGACAUCUCAAGGCUCCAGGACUUCCCAGCCACUAAACACUUGUCCAUCUUGUCCCUUUUUUCAACAGGGGUCGUCACAGUAGUAGUAGUCUCCACAAUGACUGUCAAAGUCUUAACAACUGAUGGUCUUCCUGACGCAACCCAACAUGGGAUUUGGGGAAUAAACGAUGCUGAAGGGACCAGGAACCCCGGAACAAGAAAGGAGGAUGGAUAGUUGAGUGCGCACACAUCCAGUCAGCUAGAGACAGACUGAGAGCAGAGCACAAAGCAGCAGCACUGCAGGAACCCUGGAGCACAUUGUGAUAUUAAUAAAGACUAAUAAACGUUACCCAUGUCAGUGUCUGGAGUCAAGGUUGACCCCAAUAGUUACACUUUUAUAUUUUAGAUUUUAUCAGCAACAUAUGUAGCUUUUAAUAAGAGUUUCACAUUUUCUUCCUGAAUUUUAACCAUGAAAAAGAACAUAAACAUUUUAAUGAAUUAUUGUUCCUUUAAAAAAAACUUAUUUUUAC